UACGUAGGGGGCAAGCGUUGUCCGGAAUCAUUGGGCGUAAAGAGCGUGUAGGCGGCUCGGUAAGUCCGCUCUGAAAGCCCGGGGCUCAACCCCGGGAGGCGGGCGGAUACUGUCGGGCUAGAGUCCGGAAGAGGCGAGUGGAAUUCCUGGUGUAGCGGUGAAAUGCGCAGAUAUCAGGAGGAACACCCGUAGCGAAGGCGGCACUCUGGGCCGAUUCUGACACUGAGGAGCGAAAGCGUGGGGAGCGAACAGG
rnacentral:rRNA from 1 species